GGACUCCUCCGCGCGGACGCCAACCUGUAGCGGCGGCGACCACCGCUGCAUCCCAUGCGCCCUCGUCCGCCCCCACGGCCGGUUAAUAUGACUCCGGUCAGCCGCCGCAAUCCAGCAUCUUCUCCAUGAUUUGGAUCCGAUUCAGAUAUGGAUUAUGCUAGUCGUUACCAUGGGUGGGAUGCGGAGCUGGGCCAGCAGCACAGCUCGUGGCCCAUCAUGGCCCAAGGGGCACGAAACAACCGGGGAAGCUAACAGAAAGUCAUCCGAUUCCUAAAAGAACUAAACGAACCGGUGAACAGCAGCACAAUUGGAUUCCAGUUUACAGUUCACAUCAUGAUUUAUUGUUCUUGACUUGUCCAUCAACUGGAUUAUUUAGAAGCUCAUAGUUCAUCAGGUACAACGUGUAAUAUAUAGUCUUAUUUAUUCUGAAUUACACCCGGUCUUUUCAACUAUUGUACUGUGAGCAUUAUGGCUCUGUUUCCGUGGUAGCAAGUGCAUCUUUUUCUCUUGGCAUAUGUUUGGAUGAUUCAUGGAUUUAAUUAAUCGUUGCAUGGCCUAUAGAAGUAACUUCUUUCUACUACAAAUUUUAGCCGGUGUAACUGAUGCAUCUAUGCUAAUAAUCUGACCAUCAGAAAACAAGCUACACAAAAUGAAUCUGAUUCUAAAAUAGAGGAAAACACUUAUCAUAAAACUCUCAAUACAUGAAUCUGUUUGUAACAAACUAAAAAAAGGAAAUAAAGAUAACUUAUUUGAAAAUUAAGAACAAUAAUACAAGUCAUGGUCCGUAGAACUUCGCCCAUUCGGGAUGGUUUCGAAGGGCUGCCCAUAUGUGAAGUAGUGUGAAAGGUUGACCUGUCAUUUGUUUAUGGAGUUUCAUAAUGUUUUCAACCAAGUCUUCAUCAGCAUGGCCACUACUGUACCGAUUGUUGUAAGCACACCACAUUCUAUUGAAUCCCCUAAUUUUGACAUUCAUCUUAUGCCAUUUGUCCUUGCAUUAUUUUGCCUUUCUCAUCCUAUCAUUGGGAGUGGUUGCAUUGUACUCUUCCGUGAUUUGAUCCUAAAAGAUUUGAGCACUAACCAAGUUUCUAUUGGCAUGCUUCAUGGAAUUAUUUAACCAAAUGUUUGCCUACAUAGAAAAAAACUUGAUCAUUUGGAAGCACUGUACUAUUGCAUGAUUCAUAUAUAGCAUUACCAAAUAAUAAUCAAUAAAUUUAAAGGCGUUGUAAGGAAGAUCUUACCAGCCGUUGAUGUUCGUCUUCUGUCCACAGCAUGCGCAUGUUUACAUUGCCCGGUCCGUCUUUGUAUGUGUGUGCAAGUGCAAGGUCUAACAAAAUACUGAUAUUUGUGUUUGCGCUGGAGCAAGUUUGGUGUAGAGAAAUGAGAUGGUGCAUGGAUAUUUAUAUUAACAUGGGAGAUCUAGUGGGUGCAUGCAACUUCUA